rnacentral:rRNA from 1 species
GACAGAGGGUGCAAACGUUGCUCGGAGUCACUGGGCGUAAAGGGUGCGUAGGCGGCGCGGUAAGUCGGGUGUGAAAGUCCAGGGCUCAACCCUGGGAUGCCGACCGAUACUGUCGGACUAGAGUUCGGAAGAGGCGAGUGGAAUUCCCGGUGUAGCGGUGAAAUGCGCAGAUAUCGGGAGGAACGCCAAUGGCGAAGGCAGCUCGCUGGGACGUUACUGACGCUGAGACGCGAAAGCGUGGGGAGCAAACAGG